CUUCUGGGACCAGUGACCAGCCUGCUGCCCCUGCUGGACCUUAGGAUAUUAUUAUAAACAAGAUCUCAAGAGGGAAGACGCUGGGGCAAGGUUGCACAGUCGAUCCUGGACUCAUGGUACAAGACUCUUUCCACUCUCUGAGAGCCCUGAGUCCUGAGAAGAUGGAAACAAGGUGUGUAUAUGUGUGUGUGUGUGCACAUGUGUGUUUGUGUGUGUAAAUGUACAUCUAAUGAGUAUGUGUGGAUAUGUGUAUGUCUCUGUGCGUUUGUGUAUAUAUGUGGAUGUUUGUCUGUAAGUAUGGCUGUAUAUGUGUGUAUCUGUUCAGCGGUGCACACCUGUAAUGCCAGCU
rnacentral:lncRNA from 10 species